GAUGAACGCUGGCGGCGUGCCUAAUACAUGCAAGUCGAACGCAUUGAGAGAGUGCUUGCACUUUUCAAUUUGAGUGGCGAACGGGUGAGUAACACGUGGGCAACCUACCUGAUAGCGGGGGAUAACGAGUGGAAACAUUCGCUAAUACCGCAUAACAAUAGAGAAGGCAUCUUCUUUAUUUAAAAGGCGCUUUCAAGCGUCACUAUCAGAUGGGCCCGCGGUGCAUUAGUUAGUUGGUGGGGUGAAGGCCUACCAAGACGAUGAUGCAUAGCCGAGGUGAGAGACUGAUCGGCCACAUUGGGACUGGGACACGGCCCAAACUCCUACGGGAGGCUGCAGUAGGGAAUCUUCCACAAUGGACGAAAGUCGGAUGGAGCAACGCCGCGUGUGUGAUGAAGGCUUUCGGGUCGUAAAGCACUGUUGUAUGGGAAGAAAUGCUAGGCUAGGAAAUGAGCUUAGUUUGACGGUACCAUACCAGAAAGGGACGGCUAAAUACGUGCCAGCCGCCGCAGUAA
rnacentral:rRNA from 1 species